rnacentral:lncRNA from 10 species
UCCGCCACAAGCGAACGAGCCUGGGCUGGCCUUGUGGAAGCCUAGCCGAGGCCUCAGAAUAUGGAUGAGAUCAUCUGAGACCAUCCACCCCAGGAAGCCAGCAAAGUGGCUAGAACCCGCCAUACCACCGCAGAAUCACGAUUGCUGUUCUGAGUCACUACAUUUCAGGUGACUUGUUGAGCAGCAAACGAGCUGACGAACCUAAAGUCAGAAGAUGCUAGCGGAAGAAACAGGACCCAGAACUCCAUUGGAAAAUGGGGUAUACAGACUUCGAGGAUGCCAGACAAAAAGAUCAUUUGAAAUAUUGUUGUCACUAAGCCUUCUUUGAUCAAGACACCAUGAGCUCAUGGCUAAUGGAAGCACGACAGUGAGCAAGACAGACAAGGUCACUACCCGCAAGGAGCUGUUGAUGGAGAAUAACAUGCAAAGAAGAAGGUAAGAAACUGACCAGAUUGCUUACUGUGAGUGGGAAGGUGGUGAAAAAGUUACAGGUGGAGAGUGCUGAAAAGAGCAAAGAACACAGUAAGAGACGCAGGAUUGAGCUUUCAGCUGCUCUGUAGAUUCUCAUCAGAGGUGCAGACUCUUCUUUGUGGAUCAUACCUACAUUUUAUUUUUCCUGAAAAUAUAGUAUGUAUUCAGGGCACACAGGCAUCUUCUAUUCACUUCAUCAUCAACACUUGUCAAACAAAAACUGCUAUUCAUGCUACAGACUCAUGCAGCUCCCUGCAUUUUGAAAGAAUUGCCUCCCUCUUCUGAGCCUGGCUCAAGGUAAGACCCAUCCCUUUGUGUUCCUGUAGAGCCCUAUACUUGCACUGAUGGUGUUCUAAUUUCUUGUGUAUUGCUUGCUCUUCCACUAGACUGGAGGAUAAAGGAAAUGUGUUUCAUUAAUAUUUACUCCCACUUCCCAAACAUGUCACAAUCAGCACACAAUAGAUACGUUCUAAAUGCUCGAAGGUCUGUUGUCAAAUAUUCCUUAUAAUCGUGGUGCUGGAGUAAAA